GUGCUCGCUUCGGCAGCACAUAUACUAAAAUUGGAAUGAUACAGAGAAGAUAAUCCCCUGCGCAAGGAUGACAUGCAGAUUCGUGAAGCAUUCCAUAUUUUU
rnacentral:snRNA from 1 species